ACAGGUUUCCGUAGGGAACCUGCGGAAGGAUCAUUAUCGAAUUUCGAGGGGAAGACGGUGGAGGUGGAGACUGUCGCUGGCUUUCGGGCAUGUGCACGUCUUCGCCUUCUUUCGUCGACCUUUCAUACACACACACCUUGUGCACCUGUUGUAGGUCCUCGAAAGAGGAUCUAUGUUUUUUUUGAACAUCACACCCAUCGUAUGUCUAUAGAAUGUAUUGAAAUAAAUCAUACAACUUUCAGCAACGGAUCUCUUGGCUCUCGCAUCGAUGAAGAACGCAGCGAAUUGCGAUAAGUAAUGUGAAUUGCAGAUUUUCAGUGAAUCAUCGAAUCUUUGAACGCACCUUGCGCUCCUUGGUAUUCCGAGGAGCAUGCCUGUUUGAGUGUCAAUGAAUUCUCAACCAUGUCUCGCCUGUCGAGCCCAUGGCUUGGAUGUUGGGGGUUGCUGGCGGCGAAAUGGCUGUCGGCUCUCCUGAAAUGCAUUAGCAAAGGGCGGGCAAGUCUUUGACGUGCACGGCCUUCGACGUGAUAAUGAUCGUCGUGGGCUGGAGCGUCUGGCAUGCAUGAAUCGUCCUGUGCUUCCAAUUCCGAGUGUCGCUUAGCUACUAGUUGGCCGGUGANGCUGACGAACGUGCGGCGCCUUCCGUUUCGAAACUUGACCUCAAAUCAGGUAGGACUACCCGCUGAACUUAAGCAACAA
rnacentral:rRNA from 1 species